AGAAGUUGGAGCGCGAGCUGCGGAGCUGCAAGAGGCAGGUGCGGGAGGUGGAGAAGCUGCUGCAUCACACGGAGCGGCUGUACCAGAACGCCGAGAGCAAUAACCAGGAACUCCGCACGCAGGUGCGCGGUCCGCAACACCCCUCUGGCCGGAACCAGACCUUCCCUGUGGACUCUUUGAAGUCAAUAAAGCCCAGAGCCGUUAAAAAUCCCGAAUACCUUUGGAGCCAGUUGAACAGUGCCAGCCAUUUGUUCUGGACAGUUGUCUCAGGGCAGGCGAGAAUAAGCUUCAGCGUGAGCUACAUGGUCUUGACCUCCUGUCCUACUGGCAAUGGGCAUAUUUGUUUUGGGGAGAAGGUCACAUGUAGAAGAGCUUAGUAAAAUACUGCGUUGUGGGAAA
rnacentral:lncRNA from 1 species